CAUUAUGAAGCUAUUAGCGUUAACCUUUUAAGUUAAAGAAUGAGAGCUCAUACUCUCCAUAAUGA
rnacentral:tRNA from 1 species